UACGAAGGGUGCGAGCGUUAAUCGGAAUUACUGGGCGUAAAGCGUGCGCAGGCGGCUUUGCAAGACAGAUGUGAAAUCCCCGGGCUCAACCUGGGAAUUGCGCUUGUGACUGCAAAGCUGGAGUGCGGCAGAGGGGGAUGGAAUUCCGCGUGUAGCAGUGAAAUGCGUAGAUAUGCGGAGGAACACCGAUGGCGAAGGCAAUCCCCUGGGCCUGUACUGACGCUCAUGCACGAAAGCGUGGGGAGCAAACAGG
rnacentral:rRNA from 1 species